UACGUAGGGUGCAAGCGUUAAUCGGAAUUACUGGGCGUAAAGCGUGCGCAGGCGGCUUUGCAAGACAGAUGUGAAAUCCCCGGGCUUAACCUGGGAACUGCAUUUGUGACUGCAAGGCUAGAGUACGGUAGAGGGGGAUGGAAUUCCGCGUGUAGCAGUGAAAUGCGUAGAUAUGCGGAGGAACACCGAUGGCGAAGGCAAUCCCCUGGACCUGUACUGACGCUCAUGCACGAAAGCGUGGGUAGCAAACAGG
rnacentral:rRNA from 1 species